ensembl:lncRNA
CGAGGCUCAAUGCGCACAUGGAAAGAUUCCUUCACCUCUCAGACAGAAAUGUUUACAGCUGAUCACUGGCAAAAAAUUUGCUGUGUCAUCCUGAAUGUUUUCCCACUUUUACUUGUAAACCUGACGCACUAGAAGAUGGAGGUGAGGGAUUAAUGUAGAUACAAAUAACACUCACUUGCACUAAACCUACCAGAUUUCACAGGAAUGCUUAUAACAGUGAAGGAACUUUGAAAGGAGCUACCAGGUCCAGUAGCGUGGGGAAGCAUUCCGCAGGUAGGAGGAAGGGUGUAGACUACUCUGUAGCACACAGAUUUCUGCUGUGAGCCCAGAAACCACAAUGAGUGCAAGUGAGGAGUGACAGCAGACCACAGUGUGCAUGUGCUGAUAUUUUGGUAUGGUCAUUUUCAAGAACUCUUGCUGGCAGAAGAGGGUGACAUCUUGUGUUGUGAUCAUACGCAAAAUCCCCUGCUUUCUUUCGCUUGUGAUCCUCAUCCAUCCAUGAAGACCUGAGUUCUGGCUGUCUAAGGAAAACCCCACUGAGGAGAGUUGGCAGCUCUUGGCACCCCAGCAUUCUGUUCAGUCGUUUCAUCAGACCCACUGUGCAGCACUGGUAAACCCAUUCUGAGUUUUGCAGUGUAUGGCACUCACUCCCCACCCACGCCCAAUGGCAGUGGGCUUUUGAAAUGUUGCAUAAAGUUUGAAAAAAAAAAAAAAAGUUGUGAUAUUGUGAUGAACCUCUCUUUCUUUGUGAUGAACCUUUCUCUCAUUUUCUCCGUGCUUCAGAGUGCUUUCUUCGCCGGACUGGGCAAAGCCAUGCGCUCUCUGCAGAGGAAGCAGGAGUAGAGAGCAAGCCUCAGUGGCUGUCCUUGAUUCAGGGCCUGACUUCCUUUCUGUCCCUGAGUUUUCAAACAUGAGAGACCACAGUAGUCUCCAUUCAGUGAAACAUCUGGCAGUGGUGGGCUCUUAAAUAUAUAUAUGUUUAUAUUUAAGCCUUAUUGGCACAGCAGCUCUCAAGGCCCGGAAGAGAACUCCCACAGGCUGUGACGCUUCCAGAUACAGAUGGCAGCUUAUGGUGUUUUGGCACCAUGUUCAUCUUCAGAGGCUACUGACUAAGGAGAGUGGUAAGACUACUGUGGAGCCAUUGCUGUGAAGGGUCACGUUCAGCCCCUAGUUUUCUCCAUUUUAAGAAAGCGUGCAGGUGGAAGUAAAGAUCUGCCAGUUCAAAGGUUGCCUUUGAUUUUGUAUGUUUGUGCCUAUAGGUGAAGUAAGCCAAUCCACACCUAGGAAAAUGAUGCCUUUUGAAAUGAAGCUUUCCAAACCAUCAGUUAAAACUUUUUAUGUUAAUUAAAAGAUUAAUUUAAUUGAUUUAAAGAGCAUGCACAUUGUGGUAUCCUAUUAGGGAUGUGCUAUCUGCAGUUUACAUUUGGUUUACUCACUGCAAAUACCAUAUGUGCAGUGAAGCAAAAAGGGUGAG